GACGAACGCUGGCGGCGUGCUUAACACAUGCAAGUCGAGCGAUGAAGUUUCUUCGGAAAUGGAUUAGCGGCGAACGGGUGAGGAACACGUGAAGAAUCUGCCCUCCACUUUGGGAUAACACAGGGAAACCUGUGCUAAUACCGAAUAUUGAAACAUAAGUGGCAUCACUGAGUUUUGAAAGAAUUUCGGUAGAGGAUGACUUCGCGGCCUAUCAGCUAGUUGGUGAGGUAAUGGCUCACCAAGGCAACGACGGGUAGCCGGCCUGAGAGGGCGACCGGCCACACUGGGACUGAGACACGGCCCAGACUCCUACGGGAGGCAGCAGUGGGGAAUAUUGGGCAAUGGAGGAAACUCUGACGGAGCAAUACCGCGUGAGGAAGAAUGCCUAUGGGUUGUAAACCUCUUUUUUCAGGGAGGAAUCAAAUGACGUGUACCUGAAGAUAAGCAUCGGCUAACUCCGUG
rnacentral:rRNA from 1 species